rnacentral:rRNA from 1 species
AUACGUAGGUGGCAAGCGUUGUCCGGAUUUAUUGGGCGUAAAGCGAGCGCAGGCGGUUUCUUAAGUCUGAUGUGAAAGCCCCCGGCUCAACCGGGGAGGGUCAUUGGAAACUGGGAAACUUGAGUGCAGAAGAGGAGAGUGGAAUUCCAUGUGUAGCGGUGAAAUGCGUAGAUAUAUGGAGGAACACCAGUGGCGAAGGCGGCUCUCUGGUCUGUAACUGACGCUGAGGCUCGAAAGCGUGGGGAGCAAACAGGAUUAGAUACCCUGGUAGUCCACGCCGUAAACGAUGAGUGCUAAGUGUUGGAGGGUUUCCGCCCUUCAGUGCUGCAGCUAACGCGUUAAAUCGACCGCCUGGGGAGUACGGCCGCAAGGUUAAA